rnacentral:misc_RNA from 1 species
GCUGAUUGUUCUCAACAAAGUCACACCAUUGGUUAAGUAACCGAAAUCUCCCAUCCAAAACCAAUCUCCAUGCUCUAACUGCCAUACUAACAGUGAUAUUUUUUUGACCAUUCUCCCGACACACAAAGAAAACAAACUCGUAGAAGCGUGAAAAUUCUGAGAAGUCUACUGUUAAGUUUAGAUAUGACAUCAGCUUCGAUAGCUCAUAAACAACUGAGUUCCCCAUCUGCAGUGAUGAUUGCACAUAUAUUAACAGCUCUGCAAGUGCCUGCUUUGAACUUUUAGCCAGUUGUGUUUCUUCAUGUCCAGAUUCAUCACUCCCAUGACAAAAGCCAUUUUGAGAUCGAAUAUCACAGUAUUGACGAUAAAUCUGGACGAUAUCGAAGCGAUUCAUAUGCAAGAAACCCACAACGGAAGUCAUGGAAGUUAAGAUUGUUGGGUGGACAAGAAGCAGAAGGAAAAUCCGGACACCAACUGCAAAACAACACAAAAGGGAAGUUCCCUCGAUUCUCUUUCUUCCCUCCUUCUUCUUCGCCCUUCGCCUUUGGUUUUUG